rnacentral:lncRNA from 1 species
AUCAAAAUAGACAAAAGAACUAAACAAAAAAGACCAGACAAAUUGAUAACAUUUGUCGUGAAUGUCUUUAUUUAAUUUCAGUUCUUCCGUGUUUUGAUUGAGGUGCCACUUUCACCUCAUCAGGUACGACUGCUUCUUCGAUCACCACCAUCUCUCUUUCUCCACUUUUAGAAUCUGCAGAAAUCUAUACCAAAGCGUACUUAAAACACACGUAUUCUAUAAGAGCCUUGCUAAAGUCGAACCAAAGUUGAAGCUUUGAAGUAACAAAGUGAAGAUGGGUUUCUUCGAUAUUCUCUAGCAAGUAGCAAUACAAACAUAUCCAGUUCUAAAUUCGAGAAAGCUUCAGGUGAUCACUUUCCCGAAAGCAAACGUUAUUUUGCUAUUGAGAAUUUUGGUAAUACUUGCUAUUGCAGCUCUGUUUUUCAGAUAUCUCUUCAUUUUUUUGUUUGUUACUUUCAUUUUUUGAGUGGAAUUGCGAAAAGUGUUGACUUUAAUCUUGUUUGUUUGUUUAAUCCUUGUGUUUUGUUUGGUUUCGGUGUUUUUGGCGAUUUUUCGUGCUACAAAUGAGACGCUUCAUUGUUCGUUUCAAAUACGACGAGGCAACUUGACCGAUAGCAUAGCGAUGGAGGCCGAUGAUGGCGGCGACGGCGGUUUCGGGACGGGAUCCGGUUUCAGAAAGGCAAGCUUAAUUGAAGGCAUAAAUUGUGCCUCGUAAUUGAGGCUCGUAAUUGUGCCUCGGGACGUUAAUUUUGCCUCGUAAUUGAGGGCGUUAAUUGUGCCUAUUUAUUGAGGGCGUAAAUUAUGCCUCUUUAUUGAGAGCGUUAAUUGUGCCUUAAUUAAGGACAUUAAUAUCUUAUUAUUAUGCCUUAAUUAAGAGCUUAAUUGUCUCAAUCAUGAGUUAUCAUGAUUGUGAGAAUAUUUUUAUUUAAUCUGUUAAAUAUAUCGACUUAUAUUCUUCUUGUUUCUCUUGUUUUAUUAUUUUUAGGAUUCUUGGAAGAAAACCGGUUUUUUCUUUUCGGACAUUAAGGUUUUAUUGUCUAAAUUUCCCCGGUCAUCUUGCAUGUCCGACGGUUAGAUAAUAAGCUUUCUUGAAUGAAAGAAUUAUCACGGUGAAUUGCCGAUGCUCGUUGAGAUUUAUUCUCAUUUUCAAAAAAAAAAAAAAAAAAAAA